AAAUGUACAUAUAGAGAAAGCAAAUAUAGCAAAAUGUCAAUAACUAGUGAAUGUAGGUGAGAGGAUACAAGUGUUUGAUGUAUUCUUUUUGCAGCUUUUCUGGGAGUUAUAUAUAUUUUUUUUUUCAAAAGGAAAAGAAGCAAAAGCAGAGGGAGUUCUAAACAUUGAAGACUCUAACCAGUGUUUUUUUUUUUUUUAAAGGUCAAAUAUUUUAAUAUUAUUUUUUCUAGCCACUAAAUUCCAUCUUAAUGAAAUAUCAAAAUAGGAAACAGGUGAAGGAGUAAUUUCCUGCACUGCCAGGCUUAUAAGAAUGUACAGUAUUUGCUUCAAUUUCAAACCUGCACUGUUUAAAAAGGAAUUUGUUUUCUUUUAAAUCCAGGUACCAAAGUUGAAAGCCCCGAAUGUCCAGAGAGCAGCUGGAACAAGAAUUGCUGCCUGCAGGCGCUUCUGUCCACCAGCCAUGCAUCAGUGAGUGGCCCUGGACCCAGCCACUGUGUGUGCACCUGCGGUUCCUGCCAUGGGGAGCAGGAGCCAUUUGGCUGCUCCUCUUCACAGGGCACCACCUGCGAUCUUUCACUGCCCAGAUGCUUCAAAAUAUUUAGAAGUUUUAGGACUUUCUUUGGCCAAAGUCUGGCUGAGGCAGCAUCUUCAGACUUCCAAAUAAGCCUGAAGAGGACAGAAGAGCGAGCAAUGUCUCCCUGAAUGGGACUACAGGGAACUCUGGUAACCACAUGUCAUUCAGCAACUUGAGAUACAUCAGCAAUAUUACUACAAGCAGUCGCUUAGGUACUUGACUGUGAGCAGGAAUACAAGACAAGUAGAACACACUGGCUCUCAUUUUUUAAAGAUGAUUUCACCUUAAGUGGUAAAUACUUACAGAAAACAAAAAAGCACCUACAAGUUAAACUAAAAGGAUUAUGACACAGGUCAGCACUGUCCAACAGAACUUUCUGUCAUUAUGCAAAUGUAUUAUAUCUGUGCUGUCCAAUAUGUGACAUAUCCAAUAUAUUACCCACCUAUGGCCAUGGAACACAUGAAAUGUAGCUAGUAUGGUGGAGGAACUCAUUUUUAAAUUUUAAUUAUCUUUGUUAGCUUAGUUAACUUUAAUUAACUGAAAUUUAAAUUAAAAUAGCCAAAUGCGGACAGUGGCUACCAUAUUGGACGUCACAGCUAUAGAUGGCCAUAGAAGUAUGGUGAAGUGGUCAGGGAAGUCCUCAUCAAGAAAGUACAGUCCGAGGAGCUUUUGAAGUGGGUUACAGAGGGAAGAAAAUGCAACUGGAUUGAGAAAGAAGGGAGGAAAUGAACGAAACACAAGAUUUGUUCUAGUAAAAGGCCUGGGGUUACAGAUUCAAAUGCCUACAGAAAGAAUCAUAAGGUGGGCCAGUAGGCCCGGCACGGUGGCUCACGCCUGUAAACCCAACACUUUGGAAGGCCAAGGCGGUCA